GAAAGGUCGGGCAGAUACCCGGCUGGACGCGCGAACUUGCGUGUCUCAUUUAGG
rnacentral:ncRNA from 1 species